UAUUGCUCGGGCAAGCAAAGAUAACACGAGCCUUGCCGACUCCCAGAACUUUUAUUGGACGCAGUGACUGACCCGGCUUCAGGAAAACGAUUUAGUCCUGUGCCGAAAACAGAGUCCUUGGAGAGUGUUCAAACCAGCGUCCUUUAGAAACCCAGCGCUCUGAGGCAUUUGCUGACAGACACCCGGACACAUGUAAUGGGAUUAUAGAUCAGCCUCAUUUAAGGAACUUUCCAGCAGCGAGAUAUUUCACAAGCUCGCUUGACUUCUCUGGGUACAACUGUGACAUCAAUUGGGAGCAGGCUGCUUACUGCUUCUAGCACAUUUUCAAAGCUACUUGAGUCUGAGGGCCGUGGAAUUCAUUCUUAUGCUUUUCAUGGCAAUUGCAUAAUGAGAGGCCUGACUGGCAGAGAGAGCCAGGGAAAUGGAGAUAAUUGAAGAGGGAGAAGACCUGAGGCCCCAGGCUCGCGAACAACUCCCACAGAGAAGGAACCACCUCUGCUCCCAUCUCACCCCAGCAGCCUUCCUGGGGUCUCCGUCCGGGGAUCUGCGUGGACCCCUCAUCAGGACUGGACCACUCGUAGAGCUUUUCUCUGGACACCUUUUCCUCCAAAUGCCUCCAGACUAUUCUUUGAUUUAUAAAGGACAAGAUCUUGGAUCCGUCAGACCUCAGCUGCGAGAGAGCAGAGUUUUGGUUCCCAAGCAAACAGUGUCACCAGACCCAGUGAGCCCGACCCAGUGAGCCAAGGCUGGACGAGACUGAAGCCGGGCGAACUUGGAGGCCUCUGCAGGGUUCCCAACACUGUUGUUCGCAGGGGGCUUCCUUGCCACCGAUGAGUCACCUGACAACUUCUUUAAAAAA